GUUAAGCGACUAAGCGUACACGGUGGAUGCCCUGGCAGUCAGAGGCGAUGAAGGACGUGCUAAUCUGCGAUAAGCGUCGGUAAGGUGAUAUGAACCGUUAUAACCGGCGAUUUCCGAAUGGGGAAACCCAGUGUGUUUCGACACACUAUCAUUAACUGAAUCCAUAGGUUAAUGAGGCGAACCGGGGGAACUGAAACAUCUAAGUACCCCGAGGAAAAGAAAUCAACCGAGAUCCCCCAGUAGCGGCGAGCGAACGGGGAGCAGCCCAGAGCCUGAAUCAGUGUGUGUGUUAGUGGAAGCGUCUGGAAAGGCGCGCGAUACAGGGUGACAGCCCCGUACACAAAAAUGCACAUGCUGUGAGCUCGAUGAGUAGGGCGGGACACGUGGUAUCCUGUCUGAAUAUGGGGGGACCAUCCUCCAAGGCUAAAUACUCCUGACUGACCC
rnacentral:rRNA from 1 species